UCCAUCUCAGAAGCUAAUUUCGUCAUCUGAGUAUUCUGUAUCAGUUUCGUAUCCGGUAUCUAUCGUGUGCCAAUGCUGGACAAUCGCUGAGAUAGUGAAGAAUCGUCUCUCUACUAACUUCAAGUUAUUAUCGGUAAAAAUUAUUUAAGAUCAAUUGCUGUAUUCGCCGAUGAGCAAUUCUUACCGCAGUGAAAAAUUCAAUAGAGUGCGUGAAUGCCGAGGUAGCGUCAGGAGUUGGAUAAGACAUAGCGAAUUCAAGCAAAGUGACACAGCCUUUUCAGAAUAAACAAGGAAUUUAUUUGUAACGAGAAUUCAACUGCAAAGUAGAAAUUGUCGUUUUUUUCUUGUGCUAAACGGUGUCCGUUGGCCGCACCAAUUGAAACCUAGUCCUUCUCCUCCCGGCAUUUCCAGCGCAAAGGACUCCUUCCUUCUCCUCUGCUACCACCAGCAGGUACCGCAUCGAAUACUUCCAGAGUUGGAGCGUUUCUAUCCAUUCAGAUCAAGAUUUGUAAGAUAACAAGGUGGAUAUUUCCCGACUGCUGCACAUUCCGUCAAAAAAGGGGUUAUUAAAAUUGAAGAAGGUCAAACAAUAAAUUUCACUACAGUUUCACUACCGCCUCCGAAUGCAGAUAAUUUUUUAUGAGUAGCUUCUUUUUGGCAGAAAUACACUCGUCAAAAAACAAUGCUAUUUGAAAAAUACUUCUAUCAUUUGGUGUUUUAUGUUCACUGUUGGUUUCGAACGGGUUCUGCUGAAUGUCAGUCAUGCACAAAACUAUUCGACUACAGACAUACAUUCUGUCGAAGAAGCACCAGAAAUUGUUUGCAAAAAUAAUUUCAGUGUUGAGUUUUCUAAACGACCAAAGCAAAGUCAGACGUGACCGGAAGCAUCGACAAGCAAUACAUCGAAAAAGAAACAUUUUCGAAAACUUUACGAAAAAAAAGCAUUCUUGCAACGCAACUAACAUAGCGAAUCUGGCAUUGGACUUUAGCGCUAGGCAACUCAGAGUGCAGCUUUCCAACUCUACAUACACCUGCAUAUAGUAUUUAGGUACAAAUAGGUACCUGAAAAUUCCUUUUGCCACUGCAGACAAAUAGUUGCAACAAAAACCAAGUGAAUUCAUAUUAUAAUUCCGCGCAGGAUCCAACAAGUACUUGUAAAGAACUGACCAGCAGAGCAACGCAUCGAGAUCAAUGGAUUCGUCCGGAAACAACAGCAGCAACAACAAAUUCCAAUAUAUUGUAGGUAAAAGUAAGAACAAUAGCAACAAAAACAGCAGACUAAAAAAAAGCAACAAGACUACGUGUUGGCGCAAAAACUAUUGAAUCGAUCGCGCACGAUCGCAAAUGCGACAAAGUCGCUCACCAACGCCAACAACACGACAGGAACAAUGGACUUACAAUCAUUCAAACAUAGUGGGAUCAUGAAUAUUAAAAAGUUUAAAUAUGAGUAACGAGUAUUUUAAAAAAUAAUACGCAAAAAGAGGCAGGGUAUACACGUUAAAGGGAGCUGAAAGAACAAUGCAACAAGUGAAGCGCCAUGCACGUGCAAGUGUUCCCUCGCAGACUGAAAGUGCUGGGAUUCAAAUAGCGCAGACAAGUUGUGUACGAGUAGAAGGGGAUGCUUGCAGCUUUAGCUGAAAAAGCAACAGCCUAGAUUACAUUAAAAGCGUGAUUUGUGAAAAACGAAGUGAGUAGUUUUCUUCAGCUUUGAGAAGGCGACCAAAGAGUUUGGUCUGGCGGUGAUCGAAGACAUAACACAGCAUAUAUGUACCUUCCUACUAUCAACAAAACAGUCCGUCCCUAUUGGCAUUGGCUGUAAUGACUUUGGAACUGUAAAGGAUAAGAACCAACAUUACUGCUACACAGCUGCAUAUAACCACGGCGGGCACUGUAACCGAAUGGGUUGGUGUGUGACUACCACUCGGAAGUGCACAGGUUCGAAACUCCGGGCACGAAACACCAAUUGGUAGAAAAAGGUUUUUUUAAUGGCAGGCUAUGGCAAACCUCCGAGUGUAUUUCCACCAUGAAAAGGUAUAAAAACCCAACUGCGGCUCGGAGGCGGCGUUAAACUGGAGCUUCUUCCAUUAGUGGGAAAACAUCAAGGCACGCACUUCAAAUAGGAGAGGAAGCCUGGACAAA